rnacentral:rRNA from 1 species
UUGAACGCUGGCGGCAGGCUUAACACAUGCAAGUCGCGCGGGGGAAGGUAGCUUGCUACCGGACCUAGCGGCGGACGGGUGAGUAAUGCUUAGGAAUCUGCCUAUUAGUGGGGGACAACAUCUCGAAAGGGAUGCUAAUACCGCAUACGUCCUACGGGAGAAAGCAGGGGAUCUUCGGACCUUGCGCUAAUAGAUGAGCCUAAGUCGGAUUAGCUAGUUGGUGGGGUAAAGGCCUACCAAGGCGACGAUCUGUAGCGGGUCUGAGAGGAUGAUCCGCCACACUGGGACUGAGACACGGCCCAGACUCCUACGGGAGGCAGCAGUGGGGAAUAUUGGACAAUGGGGGGAACCCUGAUCCAGCCAUGCCGCGUGUGUGAAGAAGGCCUUAUGGUUGUAAAGCACUUUAAGCGAGGAGGAGGCUACUUUAGUUAAUACCUAGAGAUAGUGGACGUUACUCGCAGAAUAAGCACCGGCUAACUCUGUG